ACUGCUCAGUAACACGUGGUCAAUCUACCGCGAAGUGGCGCAUACCCUCGGGAAACUGAGGUCAAUUCGCCAUAGGCUACGGCACCUGGAAGGAGCUGUAGCCGAAAGGGACCCAAAUCGUAGGGCUUCCGCUUCACGAUGAGACUGCGGCGGAUCAGGCAGAUGGCGGGGUAACGGCCCACCAUACCGAUAACCUGUAGGGGAUAUGAGAGUAUAGGCCCCGAGAAGGGCACUGAGACAAGGGCCCUAGUGCUACGGCAUGCAGCAGGCGCGCAAACUCCACACUGCGCGGAAGCGUGAUGGGGGGAAUCUGAGUGGUUCACUUCGGUGAACCUUUUGCCAAGUAUAGCAAGCUUGGCGAAUAAGUGCCGGGCAAGACCGGUGGCAGCCGCCACGGUAAUACCGGCGGCACAAGUGGUGUCCACGAUUAUUGGGCUUAAAGCGCUCGUAGCUGGCCGAAACCGUCUCAUGUGAAAUAUUGGCGCUCAAUGUCAAUGCGUGCAUGAGAUACCUUUCGGCUGGGGAGUGGGUGAGGUCAGGAGUACUUAUGGGGAAGGGGUAAAAUCCUAUAAUCCUAUAAGGACUAACGGUGGCGAAGGCGCCUGACUAGAACACAUCCGACAGUGAGGAGCGAAGGCUAGGAGAACGAAUCGGAUUAGAUACCCGAGUAGCCCUAGCAGUAAAUUAUGCAGACUCUGAUGUUGCAAACAUCUUGGAUGUUUGCAGUACCGUAGAGUAAUUGUUAAGUCUGCCGCCUGGGGAGUACGGCCGCAAGGUUGAAACUUAAAGGAAUUGGCGGGGGAGCAC
rnacentral:rRNA from 1 species